AAACAGAAGGAGAUGUGAUACUGAUUGAAAAUGGCACCAAUUUAACUUUAUCCUCGAGAGCAGAUGGAUUUUACUACUGUAACAGCAAGCAAUGGAUUUGGAUCAUCCAAUUCAUCAGAAUGGCCAUGUACAUCAGAUAACAGAGCUGUAAAAUAUGCAGGUUCGGGAGUCGCUGUCGGUUUGGUUCUGUUAUUCAUGUUGUCAUUCUGUGGAUGAGGAAAAGCGGACCAGCAUACAGUAACAGGAGUGAGGAGUACAGCAAGAACGACUCUUCUCCUGUGUAUGGUAACGUCUCAGUUAUGACCUCUGACCCCACACAAACAGAUCAGGACAACGUUCAGUACUCCAGCGUUUACUUCACACAAACGCACACACAGGAAGUGCCUCUCUACUCGACGGUUCAACUGCCAAAGGCUCUCAAUCAGAAAGAGGACGUAGUAUAUGCCACAGUGAACCUCGUCAAAUCAAGAGCUGUUCGGGAGGACGAAAUCUACAACAAUCUGAAGUCCAAGAGUAAGAACUGACCACAAAAUUCAACGUCUGCAACAUGUGUUAAAAAAGGUCCAGAUACUCUUUUUUUCCCCCCGCUAGGGCUCAGCCAGCUCCUGCAAGAAGCUUCUGGGCAGAUGUGAAUGCGUGAUCUCCUUCCUCCAACACCAUCAAGAGGAAACACCAGCAGAGAAACGGCAGAAAAAAAAACCACACCGAAGCACAUGUUGCCUUGGGAACUGUGACACACUCGGAGAGGGAGAACCCAUGCCAGAACACAGGCAGCAGGCACUGGCCCAAGAGGCAGAUGUCUGUAAGAGAGAACUGUGUAAAAUUGUGAAAAUAUUCAAAUAUAUUUCAUUUAAACACACCAAACAACGUUCUCUGACAAGAAUGCGUGAUCACAGUUUUAACUCCAGCUGCUGCCGUUGCUUUCUUGAAUCACAGUUAGAAAAGCAGAUUCUUUUGGCUUGAGAGAUGCCUGAUCAAGUCUUGCAGGCAUUCACUAUCCCACUGGAGGCCUGAUUGUCAUGGAAAUACCAGGAAAAGGACUAGAGACUACAAUUCCCAUCAGCCACCUCACCUGACCAUGUCACAUGACUGGUCUGCACCUGAUCUCAAUUUCACACUCAUCACUGUUCCCCUAUAUAAGCCUCAUCCUGUUUCAGCCACACUGUGAAGUAAUUACUCAGUUUCCUUAGUGUUCUGUCAUUACCAUGUCUUUCAUAAAGAAAAAAUAAUAAAUAAUCCAUUCUCUCUGUCCAUUUCUGGAUGGUUUAAUUCCAAACA
ensembl:lncRNA